rnacentral:rRNA from 1 species
GUGUCAGCCGCCGCGGUAAUACGUAGGGUGCGAGCGUUAAUCGGAAUUACUGGGCGUAAAGCGUGCGCAGGCUGUUUUGUAAGUCGGAUGUGAAAUCCCUGAGCUCAACUUAGGAACUGCGUUUGAAACUACAAGACUAGAAUAUGUCAGAGGGGGGUAGAAUUCCACGUGUAGCAGUGAAAUGCGUAGAGAUGUGGAGGAAUACCAAUGGCGAAGGCAGCCCCCUGGGAUAAUAUUGACGCUCAUGCACGAAAGCGUGGGGAGCAAACAGGAUUAGAAACCCUGGUAGUCC